rnacentral:lncRNA from 1 species
UCUCAAACAGGAACAUGACCAUGACAUGUUCAUCAAGAUACAAACAAAAAGAAAGUUACUAAGAGCUACAUGCAAAGUCAAGAGCCUGUGGAAACUAAGUGAAGGAUACAGGUAGAAGAAUGGAAUGAAGGACAAACAGACAAGGAGAGAGGGGAGGAGACCGGGAGAAAGCAUCUGUCAAUGGAGAGAAAGAGAAGGACUUGAAACACUCCCUGAUCCUUCAGUCCCAGAGGUGUGAAGAACUCCUGGGAAAUGUAUUAUUCUGUUCUAUAAUUAUUUCACAUAUACAUCAAUUUCAUGGCUAUAUCCAGGUAAAUUAGGUAGCUAAUCUUAGAUUUUCUUUCCCCUGUUAUAGAAUAGGAACCACAUUCUGUCUCCACCUCUGGUGUCUUGCAUUGUCUAAUGUCAGAGAACAUUGUUCUGCAAUCUUAUUACCUCCUUCCUGUAACCUUUACCACAGGGGAUGAGUCACAAAUGACCAGCAGAGCAACUAAAUGAUAUUCAGUUUCAGGCUUUCCUUCGCUGACAGUCAUGUGACAGCUUGUUAGUCAUGAGAGAAGAUCUUAUGUCUUAAAAAAAAAAUUGUCACUUUAGGUACUACUAAACCCUUCCUUAGAAAGAAGGAAGAUAGACAAACUCUAUUCACAUUCCUGAUAUUCUUUUAUCAAAAGUACUUCUUGAAGAAUUCCUAGAUAGUUUCCCUCCACCAUCCCACUUUCUUCUCUGUCUCCCUCCCUGAUAUAAAUAAUGUCUCACCUGAAUUGGAUUUUCUAGAAGAUUGAGAACUCGAAGGAUGGGUAAAUUUUUAAUGUAUUCUAUUUCUCUCAGCUCAGCAAUCUGUUCAAUCAAAGAAAAAAAUUAUCAACAGACUAAAUGCACAAAGACAAUAGAAAACAUAAUACAAUAGAAGCCAGUUUGGGUCCUUUAAAUUCAACUUAUUUUAAAAAUUGCUCUGUCUAGCUUUUUAAUGAGAAUUCCACAGAACUUCACAGAACAAGGGAAUUAUUGCAUACCCCUUCUAUAACUGUGCAUGCACACAACCACGUUUUCUUUCUUCUUCUCUAGCUAGGGAACAGUAAGUUUCCUCCUCUUAUCCAUGUUCACUUUAAGGCAGAAAUAAAAUAGCAUUCAAAGUCAGAAAAACAGUACAAAAAUGCACCCAAGGAUGACCUGGUUACCCACCCCACCGCCAUUCCUAGCCUUCCAGCCCCCCAACUUCCUUCCCCAAUCCUGCUUCUGUUACCCUGGUCAUUUAUGACUGGUUAAAGCCUUUUUUUUUUUUUUUGCGAUGGAGUCUCGCUCUGUCACCAGGCUGGAGUGCAGUGCUGUGAUCUCGGCUCACUGCAACCUCCGACUCCCUGGUUCAAGUGAUUCUCCUGCCUCAGCCUCCUGAGUAGCUGAGAUUACAGGCACACACCACCAUGCCUAAAUAAUUUUUGCAUUUUUAGUAGAAACGGGGUUUCACCAUGCUGGCCAGGAUGGUCUUGAUCUCCUGACCUUGUGAUCCGCCUGCCACAGCCUCCCAAAGUUCUGGGAUUACAGGCAUGAGCCACCCGGCCAAAGCCUUCUUACUGCAUGUACAUAUAUGGCUUUAUCACUUUUUCCAACAGAGAAUUAUUUCAAGGUAAAAAACUAAAAAUUGUAUGACAUAUUUCUUGAUGGGUGUGUACUGUUCACCUUGAACUCUUUAGCUAACUUGUACACUUAUGUUUUAUAUACUUUUCUGUAUAGGUUGUGUUUCACCAUUUUAAAAAGUAGGAGAACAGAAAGAAAAAAAAAAGAUUGCUUGACAGUUCCUUAAUUUGACCAGAAAUAGAACUUGGAUUGCGGCAGGCCUGAAUUCUCUACUAAAUUAAAGGCAAAUAGGUUUACUUAAAUAUUCUGUAAUUAGCAUAAUUACAAUUUUAUCUCAAGUGUAGAUAUUACACUUUUGCAAAAAGUUAAUCAUCACUUUUUCAUUUCUAUUUUUCUCCAAUCAUUUCUGCAUGCAUUGGAAAGCACUCCUACAGAAGGGUCACCAAAAACUCCUGAGUUAUCCAACCACAAUACACAGCUAAAAUGCAAACUAGACCCAAAGCCAAGUCAGAGGACAAACAUAUGCACCAUGUUCAAAGGAUGCCAUUUUCAAAGAUACAAUAUGAAAGGUGAACACCAGAGUUGCAAUCUACAACCUGAACACAUUAAUCUUGUUAGAGCAACGUUAUACUAUUAUACACAUCUUUUUCCGUAAGAUGACUAAACUGUCCAUCAGUCUGCCAUUUGGAUUAUCUUUUUUUAAAAGGGAUCAAUUGUUUUCUAUUGUAUUAUUCAGGAAAGUGGAAAAGUAAACUUGUGAACAACGGAUUAAUUUCCUUCUAGCAUUCCAUCUGCUCUUAUUCUUUUUUAUUUAUUUAUUUAUUUAUUUUUGAGAUGGGUUCUUGCUCUGUCACCCAUGCUGGGGUGCAGUAGUAUGAUCAUGGCUCACUGCAGCCUCAACCUCCCUAGCUCAAGGAACCUUCCUACCUCAGCCCCCGACCCCCGAGUAGCUGGGACUACAAGUGUGCACUGCCAAGCCUAGCUAAUUUUUGUAUUUUUUUGGAGACAGGGUUUUGCCAUGUUGCUCAGGCUGUUCUUGAACUCCUGGGCUCAAGCAAUCCACCCACCUCGACUUCCCAUUCCCAAGUGCUAGGAUUACAGCCGUG